rnacentral:rRNA from 1 species
GGGGAAUCUUGCGCAAUGGCCGAAAGGCUGACGCAGCGACGCCGCGUGGGGGAGGAAGGGCUUCGGCUCGUAAACCCCUGUUGCCCGGGGCGAACAUCCCUUUUCGAGGGGGCUGACGGUACCGCGUGAGGAAGCCCCGGCUAACUCCGUGUCAGCAGCCGCGCUCAUCCGCAGGGUGCGCGCGUUGUCCGGAAUCACUGGGCGUAAAGGGCGCGUAGGCGGCCGAGCAAGGUCGCGGUGAAAGCCCGGGGCUCAACCCCGGGUCGGCCGUGGCAACUACUCGGCUCGAGCACUGUAGGGGCGGGUGGAAUUCCGGGUGUAGCGGUGGAAUGCGUAGAGAUCCGGAAGAACACCGGUGGCGAAGGCGGCCCGCUGGGCAGGAAGAGGGCGCAAGCCCUCGGCUGACGCUGAGGCGCGACAGCGUGGGGAGCAAAC